CUGGUUUAAAAUCUCGUCCUGUCAACCGUCACAGGCAGCGACUUGGCAAUGUACUAUAGUACUUCGAUGAUGUGUCGGUGUCUCAUAAUUAUUCAUGAGCCUGCGUGUUCUUAUCCUAUGAGAAGAUGCUGUCUCUUAAUUAUUCAUGACAGCACAUGGUGCUUUCCUACAGAUGGAGUAGAUGAGAGAGGCAUUCAAAUGGGUCGCAGGUGUUUGUUUCAGUGGUGUAAGAGUUCGAGUGUGUUUAUUCACGAGAGCUAUGAGUACUGGAGAAAGGUGGACUUCAGACUUGCUCAUGAAAGCAGUAUGCGUUUACACAAUGAUGUGGUGCUCAGACCCAAGGACAUUUCUAUCCCUACAAAUGAGGAGAGCAGGUUCAGACCAGUGGGACUGGAAUACCAGGAGAAAGAACAGAUGUUCACCUGUCAGAGCGAAGAAGAGGAAUUGCAAAUAUGAGAACGCUGGCAUGGAUCCGAACACAGCAUUGCCAGAACUCACAUGCUCUCACACACACAAACACGACACACACAGUCCACUAGCCAAUAAUAACCGGGUGAAAUCCUGUUAAUCAGUUACAUUGUGGCACUGAUAUGCUCUCAUAUUAGCAAGCAAUUAACCGUAGAUGUACUGUAGAUGGGGCAUCUUUCAAUGGAAUUGGGAUGAAAUCUUUCAAAGUGAUUUUCUCCCUUUUCACUUUUGGGGGAACCAGAAUUUUCAAAAUGCUAGAAUUUUACUUCUGCUUACAAAAGAGUUGGGGAAGAAAACACUUCAAAAUUAUAUAAGGUAAAAAAAUAUCAAAAAUGAAGGGUUUUCCCAGGCUGCCACGCAAUUAUAAAUCCAAACAACUAAAGUAUAGUCAUUCACACUAA